AGUGAAAGUACAGAUUGUCCAGUGGUUCUGUUUUCCAGAGUUACACUCCCUCUGUUGACACCAGGAUUCAACUGUGACCUCACAGUCCGAGGGUGAACCCUCCCAGCCUUGUUGGCACCUGACUUGGGGAGAAGCAAGAGAGAGACAGCUCCACAUGGGGUGUGAAGUUCAGAGGUGCAACAACAGGGAAGGUCGCCAGGAACUACAGGCCUUGGGACAAGGCCCACAUCAAACCAAGUCCUCUCAGCAGGUACAUGAGUUGCCUGCCAGUGCACUGAGUGAAUCUUCCCAUGAGUUCUUUCAGCAACAUGUGUGCAUUUUGGUAGAUGUUCCCUUGAAUAAACAAGAAAAUGAACCUUACUUAAGAAGGUGCUGUGCUUACCCAAAGGCUGAGUACUGUGCACAGCUAAUGAGAAGAUGAAGGGAUGGAUAACAUUCUCAGCUGUCCCCUGGGAAAUACUCAUUUAUUGGAAACAAUUAUUUGUGAUUAUUUAUGCAAAAGCUGUAUGAAAGACAAGAAUGGAUAAGUGACAAUUUUAUCUUAAUGGAAUUUUUUUGUAAGCAAAAUAUAUCUUUACAUGGUUGACCUUGGUGCUACUUGAGCAGGGAUCAAUGGAGGCACAGAGCUGGAAAUGGGAGUAGAGUUUCAUGGUCCUCAACUACUGUAGAAACAAAAAUUUGACUCAGUAUUUCCUUGCAACUGUGAGUAUCUGUUAUACAAGAUGCCUGGGGACUUUGUUCCAUGACUUAGAGAACUUAAGAACAAGGUGGGCAUUGUGCCUUUUUUCCCCUAAAAUCUUCAGUAUGAAAUUGUGAAGUUUGCAGAAAGAAAAAAAUAAA